UGCAUCGACAAGGAACUUACACUUGGGCUGAUGGAGUUAAGUAUGAGGGCACCAUUUACUGCAUACAACAGGGAAGGUUCUUUUUGGUAUGAAGGUGACUUUGUGUACAAUGUAAAAAGUGGAUGGGGAAUAAGAUGUUAUAGAUCUGGGAAUAUCUAUGAAGGCCAGUGGGAGAGGGAUAUCCGUCAUGGAGAAGGGCGGAUGAGGUGGCUGACGACUAACUAGGAAUAUACUGGGAAAUGGGUUAAUGAGAUACAGAUAUGGCAU